ACGCUCGACACCUACGGGAGACAGCAGUGGGGAAUAUUGCACAAUGGGGGAAACCCUGAUGCAGCGACGCCGCGUGAGCGAAGAAGUAUUUCGGUAUGUAAAGCUCUAUCAGCAGGGAAGAAACUGGCGGUACCUGACUAAGAAGCACCGGCUAAAUACGUGUCAGCAGCCGCGGUAAUCUGAGCGGGCUGGCAAGGC
rnacentral:rRNA from 1 species